rnacentral:rRNA from 1 species
AACGAACGCUGGCGGCAUGCCUAACACAUGCAAGUCGAACGAGACCUUCGGGUCUAGUGGCGCACGGGUGCGUAACGCGUGGGAACCUGCCCUUAGGUUCGGAAUAACUCCCCGAAAGGUGUGCUAAUACCGGAUAAUGUCUUCGGACCAAAGAUUUAUCGCCUUUGGAUGGGCCCGCGUUGGAUUAGCUAGUUGGUAGGGUAAAAGCCUACCAAGGCGACGAUCCAUAGCUGGUCUGAGAGGAUGAUCAGCCACACUGGGACUGAGACACGGCCCAGACUCCUACGGGAGGCAGCAGUGGGGAAUAUUGGACAAUGGGCGAAAGCCUGAUCCAGCAAUGCGGCGUGAGUGAUGAAGGCCUUAGGGUUGUAAAGCUCUUUUACCCGGGAUGAUAAUGACAGUAACGGGAGAAUAAGCUCCGGCUAACUCCGUG